UACGAAGGGGGCUAGCGUUGCUCGGAAUCACUGGGCGUAAAGCGCACGUAGGCGGCUUCUUAAGUCAGGGGUGAAAUCCUGGAGCUCAACUCCAGAACUGCCUUUGAUACUGGGAGUCUUGAGUUCGGGAGAGGUGAGUGGAACUGCGAGUGUAGAGGUGAAAUUCGUAGAUAUUCGCAAGAACACCAGUGGCGAAGGCGGCUCACUGGCCCGAUACUGACGCUGAGGCACGAAAGCGUGGGGGAGCAAACAGG
rnacentral:rRNA from 1 species